ACGAACGCUGGCGGCGUGCUUAACACAUGCAAGUCGAACGGAAAGGCCAGUGCUUGCACUGGUGCUCGAGUGGCGAACGGGUGAGUAACACGUGGGUGAUCUGCCUUGCACUCUGGGAUAAGCUUGGGAAACUGGGUCUAAUACCGGAUAGGAACCGUCUUUAGUGUGGUGGUUGGAAAGUUUUUUCGGUGCAAGAUGAGCUCGCGGCCUAUCAGCUUGUUGGUGGGGUAAUGGCCUACCAAGGCGUCGACGGGUAGCCGGCCUGAGAGGGUGUACGGCCACAUUGGGACUGAGAUACGGCCCAGACUCCUACGGGAGGCAGCAGUGGGGAAUAUUGCACAAGGGGCGGAAGCCUGAUGCAGCGACGCCGCGUGGGGGAUGACGGCCUUCGGGUUGUAAACUCCUUUCGACAGGGACGAAGCGUUAUGUGACGGUACCUGUAUAAGAAGCACCGGCUAACUACGUG
rnacentral:rRNA from 1 species